GGCAGUCAGCCUUGAUUCCUGCAUCUUCUUUCCCAACACAUACAACAAACCCACACCUAGUAUCAUACUGAACAGGGGAAAACUGAAAACCUAUCUUCUAAGAUCUAGAACAAGACAAGGAUGCUGACUUUUAUCACUUUUAUUCAACAUAGUACUGAACGUUCUAGCCAGAGCAAUGAGACAAGAGAAAUAAAUAAAAAGCAUUCAAAUUAGAAAGGAAGAAGUCAAUUAGAAAGGAAGAAGUCAAAUUAUCCUGGAUAGCAGAUGAUAUCAUCUUAUAUUUAGAAAAAUGCAGACAUUACCAAAAAACUAUUAGAACUGGCAAAUAAAUUCAGUAAACGUUCAGUUUACAAAAUCAACACACAAAAAAUUAGUAGCAUUUCUAUAUGCCAAUAGCAAACAAUUUGAAAAAAAAACCAAGAAAGUAAUUCCAUUUACAAUGGCUACAAAUAAAAUAUCUAAAAAUUAACAAAAGAAGGGAAAGAUCUUUUCAAUUAAAACUAUAAAACAUUGAUAAAAUAAAUUGAAGAAGACACAAAAAAUGAAAAGAUAGCCCAUGUUCAUGGAUUGGAAGCAUCAAUAUUGUUUAAAUGUUCAUACUACCCAAAGCAAUCUACAGAUUCAAUGCAAUCCCUAUCAAAAUAUCAAUGACAUUCUUCACAAAAAAACUUAACAUUUAUAUGAAACCACAAAAGAUCCAGAAUUACCAAAGCCACCCUG
rnacentral:lncRNA from 1 species